rnacentral:tRNA from 1 species
AGUAGAGUCAGCUAAUCAAGCUUUUGGGCCCAUACCCCAACCAUGCCGGUUAAAAUCCCGCCUCUGCUA